CACGUAGGGUGCAAGCGUUGUCCGGAAUUAUUGGGCGUAAAGGGCUCGUAGGCGGUCCGUCGCGUCGGGAGUGAAAACUCGGGGCUCAACCCCGAGCCUGCCUUCGAUACGGGCGGGCUAGAGGUAGGUAGGGGAGAACGGAAUUCCUGGUGUAGCGGUGGAAUGCGCAGAUAUCAGGAGGAACACCGGUGGCGAAGGCGGUUCUCUGGGCCUUACCUGACGCUGAGGAGCGAAAGCGUGGGGAGCGAACAGG
rnacentral:rRNA from 1 species